rnacentral:pre_miRNA from 1 species
CAUUUAAAAACUCUGCUGGCCACGUGCAUUCUUGGGUUAUUAACACACAUUUGAAAUACAUUGUUAUUGCUUGAGAAUACACGUAGUUGACAAUGUUUUCCAACUU